rnacentral:rRNA from 1 species
UACAGAGGGGGCAAGCGUUGUCCGGACUUACUGGGUGUAAAGCGCAUGCAGGUGGCCUGGCAAGUGUGCUGUGAAAGCCCCGUGCUUAACACGGGGAGGCCAGUACAGACUGCCAAGCUCGAGGACUGCAGAGGGUAGGGGAAUUGCUGGUGUAGUGGUGAAAUGCGUAGAUAUCAGGAGGAACACCGGUGGCGAAGGCGGCUCUCUGGACCACAACUGACGCUGAGGCGCGAAAGCUAGGGGGAGCAAACAGG